GCCGUCAUGGUGUAGUGGUCAACACGCUCAGUUCGUAUUCGAGAGGUCCGUGGUUCAAGUCCCAGCGAGGACA
rnacentral:tRNA from 1 species